CCUCCAAAGUUUCCCUCAGGAUAGUUGGAGCCCGGGUGCAAGUUGUAUCAUGUAAAGCCAAUGAUUAGAGGCAUCGGGGGCGCAACACCCUCGACCUAUUCUCAAACUUUAAAUAGGUAGGAUGGUGUGGCUGCUCUAUUGAGUCGUGCCAUAGAAUCGAGAGCUCCAAGUGGGCCAUUUUUGGUAAGUAGAACUGACAAUGUGAGAUGAACCGAAAGUUGGGUUAUGGUGCCCAACUGUGCGCUAACCUAGAACCCACAAAGGGUGUCUAGUGUGCCGUGUAAGGGGAACAAGUCAUGCUCUAGCCAACCCCAAUUGCCAUUUUCCACCCAUAAAUAUAUUACAUUGUGUAAGGGG
rnacentral:ncRNA from 1 species